rnacentral:pre_miRNA from 14 species
ACACCCAGCUCCCCUGGCUCUAGCAGCACAGAAAUAUUGGCACCGGGGAGAAAGUCUGCCAAUAUUGGCUGUGCUGCUCCAGGCAGGGUGGUGA